rnacentral:tRNA from 1 species
AAAGUUAAAGCUAAAUAAGCAAAUCUAUUACAAAGAUUAAAAAAAUUACUUUA